GGUAACAUGCGUCCUUUGAGGAAGGAGGUGUUCCCAGAAAGAAGAAAAGGAGGUAUAUUCUUUAACAAGUGCAGACUGAGGUUUCGUCGUGGGUUAUAGACAAGACAUUCAUCUGGAGCCAUCUCUACCAUCCAGCUAAGGAAACACCCCUUUUCAGAAGAUUGGAGAUAUUAUUAUACAAUACAGAAGAGCAACGAUAUAUUUUACAAAAACAAAGUAUUCUGAAAACUUCAAUGGAAUUUAAACUGACCAAACCAACAUAUUACUGUAACGUUCCAGAUGGGUUUUCAUAGUAACUAAUAACUAUACAGUUUGUAUAUAACAUGUAUUGUCACAAAAAAAAAAGUCACAUCUGAUAUGAUCUAUUUCCUUAACAUAGUUGGUUCUUUUUCCCCAAAAGUUCAAGACAAAACACUUUUGUUGUUGUAAAUUAAAAUAUUAAUUUAACCUUUAA